rnacentral:lncRNA from 1 species
UUUUAACAAUUUUUUUUUUGCCAUUUAGGUCUACCAGAGGAGAGAGGUAAAACGUUACAGCCUGUCUCUCUCCUUCAAAACCCUCUCUCAAGACACACACAGCAGGCCUUCGAACACCACAAACAUUGUCGCUUUUCCGAUCAAAACCUUGGUGGCAUUCAUCACGGGAAAGACAAAGUACAUGAGCGGGAGAUGAUGAUUUGUGGUGGUGAGCAACCAGAGCGACGAUAUGGGUAUAAGAAGAAAGCCCGAGCAUAAGAAAGGGUUUUGGACAAAGAGAGGUGCUGGCUCUAGGGUUCCGGCUGUUGGUCCUGGCAACGACCAUAACCGACGGUCCCGCGAGCCCAGUGGUGGUAGCGAUUUGGGUUGAUGUAAAACGGUGGAAGUGUUCAGGUUUUGACAGAGGAGUGACGACUGCCGUUUGAAGGCUUGGUAUUCCGGCGAGGUGUUUUCCGGUCUAGAUCCAGACAAUAUUCCGGGUUAUUCUAGACCUCCGACCAAAAUCCGGUGAACGACGGUGGUUGUAACGGUGAGUGGCGAAGAUGACACAAAUAUAAUGCGACGAGUAUCAUUGACGAGUGAAAUACUUCAAAGAGUACAAAUACUACAAGUUGGAUGGAUUGGCUAAAGUCCCAAAUGUCAACACAAGUUCAGCACCAAGCCAAACACCCACGUGGCAGGUUCCGUCGAUACAUCCGAUCUCCCCAGCUACAGUGUUCGGGUUGAAUCCUCCUAUUGUUUGCAGUAAUUCAAUUUAAGUAGCCGCAACGCGGCGACACGAAAAAAAACCUAGUUAGUUUAGUACUCAACAUUGUGACAAGAUUUCUUAGUACUCAACAUUGUAACAAAUGGAACAUUAAUACUUGAUU